GAUGAACGCUGGCGGCGUGCUUAACACAUGCAAGUCGAACGGUGAACGAGGGAGCUUGCUCCCUCCGGAUCAGUGGCGAACGGGUGAGUAACACGUGAGCAAUCUGCCCUGGACUCUGGGAUAAGCGUUGGAAACGACGUCUAAUACCGGAUACGAGGCGUGGGGGCAUCCCCAACGCCUGGAAAGAACUUCGGUCCAGGAUGAGCUCGCGGCCUAUCAGGUAGUUGGUGAGGUAAUGGCUCACCAAGCCUACGACGGGUAGCCGGCCUGAGAGGGUGAGCGGCCACACUGGGACUGAGACACGGCCCAGACUCCUACGGGAGGCAGCAGUGGGGAAUAUUGCACAAUGAGCGAAAGCCUGAUGCAGCAACGCCGCGUGAGGGACGACGGCCUUCGGGUUGUAAACCUCUUUUAGCAGGGAAGAAGCGAAAGUGACGGUACCUGCAGAAAAAGCACCGGCUAACUACGUGCCAGCAGCCGCCGUAAAAC
rnacentral:rRNA from 1 species